UACGGAGGGUGCGAGCGUUGUCCGGAAUCACUGGGCGUAAAGGGCGCGUAGGUGGCGCGGGUAGUCAUCGGUGAAAGCUCAGGGCUCAACCCUGAGUCGGCCGGUGAUACUCCCGUGCUUGAGUGUGGUAGAGGCCAAUGGAAUUCCGGGUGUAGCGGUGGAAUGCGUAGAGAUCCGGAAGAACACCGGUGGCGAAGGCGGUUGGCUGGGCCACAACUGACGCUGAGGCGCGAAAGCUAGGGGAGCAAACAGG
rnacentral:rRNA from 1 species